UAGCCUUUUUAUUGAUUGUUAGCAAACUUAUACAUGCAAGAAUCCCCAUUCCUGUGAAAAUGCCCUACAAAUCAUCAAGAUCCAAAGGAGCUGGUAUCAAGCACACCAACCGUAGCUCAUAACACCUUGCUUAGCCACACCCCCACGGGAUACAGCAGUAAUCAAAAUUAAGCUAUAAACGAAAGUUUGACUAAGUUAUGCAAUAUCUUAAUAGGGUUGGUAAAUAUCGUGCCAGCCACCGCGGUCAUACGAUUAACCCUAAUUAAUAAACUCCGGCGUAAAGAGUGUUAAAGACCCAAUAAUACUAAGAUUAAACUCUGCCUAAGUUGUAAAAAACAAGAGACAAAAAUAAAAUCAUCAACGAAAGUAAUCUUAAUAUGUCUGAUUACACCAAAGCUGAAACCCAAACUGGGAUUAGAUACCCCACUAUGUUCAGCCGUAAACAUAAAUAUUUAAGAACAAAAACAUUCGCCAGAGAACUACUAGCAAUUGCUUAAAACUCAAAGGACUUGGCGGUGCUUUAAACCCAUCUAGAGGAGCCUGUUCUAUAAUCGAUAAACCCCGAUAUACCUCACCACUUCUCGCUAAUUCAGUUUAUAUACCGCCAUCUUCAGCAAACCCCAGUCAGGGAACAAAAGUAAGCACAACGAUUCUCAUAAAAACGUUAGGUCAAGGUGUAACCAAUGAAGUGGGAAGAAAUGGGCUACAUUUUCUUUAUUCAAGAAUAUAUUCCACAGUAAUCUUUAUGAAAUUUAAAGAUCUAAGGAGGAUUUAGCAGUAAAUUAAGAACAGAGAGCUUAAUUGAAUAAGGCCAUAAAGCACGCACACACCGCCCGUCACCCUCCUCAAUUGUCCACUCAAUUUUAACUAAAUUAAAAACAUAAGAGGAGACAAGUCGUAACAAGGUAAGCAUACUG
rnacentral:ncRNA from 1 species